GAUGGGGCAAGCCAUGGGACUGGAAGGCAGCAGGCAGAUGUCAGGGUUGGGGAUUACUGGCUCAGAAGCAGGAAAUCUCAUGUAGAAGCCCAGAACUUUCAAGAGAUAAGAAGUAGAGAGAUUCUGGUUUAAAGAGAGAUGACAGAAGCCCUGAAUGUCCUCUCUUCUGCUCCCCCAGAUACCUUCAUGGACUACAGGGCUGUACAUACGACUGUUGAAGUUUAUAACUAAAAAUAAACCAAUAGGAAAGCUAGCCAUGCCAUAGUGGCUACAUGCAUGGGAUGUGAAGCCACACUUCCUGAGUUUGAAUCCCAGCUCUGCCUCAUCUUAAAAGUGUGAUCAUAGAGAGUGUGCCAACAUCAUUCUAAAUGAUUGGGAUACAUGAGUGGGAGUGAGUGAAGUGGACAAUGGCAGCAUUUUAGAAAAGGAUUAAGGUUUCUUUUUCUCCCCAGGGUCAUGGGAUACAUGAACUUCAGGCUUAAUCUCUGUGUGAGAAAAACAGCAUGAAGAUAAUCAACUCUAUGUCAGAAGAAAUUGGCAACACUACUAACCACGAGUAAUGCACACCGAAGGAGGACCCGGGGAAGAACCAAGAGAAGACAAGAACUGAAGUUCUUCCAUUCCCACCUCUGCAUCACCUUCCCUGCUUUCUCUUUCCCCAGAAGAGACUCAGUCAACAUCCCAAAGACCAAUGAUUUCAUUGUUUUACACCAAAUAUCCCUCCUCUAAAUUUUUCAAGAAAUUGGGAAUAAACUUCUUACGCAAGAAAAUUUGGGGAGCAAAAGCAAGUAACCAGCCUAGAUGAGCACAUCCAACCUCUCUCCUCUUGAUUCUCACAUGUAUUACCCAGGGUCCUGUUUCUGCAGAAAGGAGGGAACCCUUGAGAACAUUUUCACUAUGUCACUUUAGCAGCCUAACUCUGUGGUACCCCUGAUUUAGGGAGGGUGAGGGGGUGGUGAAGACUGCAACCCCAAUAGAAGCAGGGAAGGUGACAUAGAGGUGAGAAUGGAAGGACUUCAGUUCUUGGCUUCUCUUGGUUUCUGCCCUGGGUCUUUCUGGCACUAUCUUUCCCUAAAGUAUUUCAUCUAAUUCCUCAAACAUCCCUGGAUAGCCUAUAUCAUAAAGUCCUUUAUGAUCUCUGUUUUACCUGGAAAGAAAGUGAGAUGCAAAGAAGUUUAGUAACUUGCUGAGACCACAGAACCAGACAGAGGUUGUGCUGAGACCCACCCAGAGCACCAGGCUCUUCAUCACAACCUCUUUUUGUAAUUUCCCACACAGUCUUCUUAAUGGCAUCAGGGGUGCACAUGUGUGUUCUCCCUGACCAUUAAACCCUCACUGGCAUUAACUGGACAAAUAGGAAGUUUAAAGAGGGUAUUUAACACCCCAUUCAUCUAGUCUCCCUGCCUGAGCUGCUCCCCCAUCCUAGAAUGUGCUUUUAUCUCCUGUGAUAACCAAAGACCCACUGGAUCCUCCCUGCCCCCUCUCUCACCAUAAGGGCCUCAAUGCAAGUUAAUGUCUCCAUUUUCCACAUUCCUAUUAUGUUUAUAGAUGGUUCUGUACAAUUUCAUGUUUUACAGACUUGUUCAACCAUUGAUAUAAUAACAACCAUGAAAACAAA
rnacentral:lncRNA from 1 species